rnacentral:rRNA from 1 species
UGCCAGCCGCCGCGGUAAUACGGAAGGUGCGAGCGUUAAUCGGAAUUACUGGGCGUAAAGCGCGCGUAGGCGGAAUGUUAAGUCUCAUGUGAAAGCCCUGGGCUCAACCUGGGAACUGCAUGGGAUACUGGCAUUCUAGAAUACAGUAGAGGGAGGUGGAAUUUCAGGUGUAGCGGUGAAAUGCGUAGAGAUCUGAAGGAACAUCAGUGGCGAAGGCGGCCUCCUGGACAAAGACUGACGCUCAUGUGCGAAAGUGUGGGUAGCGAACAGGAUUAGAUA